rnacentral:tRNA from 1 species
GAAUAUGAAGCGAUUUAUCGCAAUUAGUUUCGACCUAAUCUUAGGCGCCCAAUGCCCUUAUUCU